rnacentral:antisense_RNA from 1 species
UUGACGGUGAAGGUCCACACGUCGUUCGACUCCACCACCGCCUGGUCACCGAAGUGGUCGCCGUCCGCCAGCGUGUCCAGCACGACGGGGUCGCCGUACUUGCCGGCCGUCAGCUUCUGCGCCUUGCCGUGCGCCAGCAGGUAGACGUGCUCGGCGGACUUGCCCGCCUCCACGAUGGUGUCGCCCGCCCUGUAGUGCUGCUGGGCGAAGCGGCCCGCCAGGGUGCGGAUGAGCAGGUCAUCCACGUCCUGGAAGCCCCGCAUCAACGGCAGCUUGAGCAGCUCCUGGGGGAUGAUCUCCACCUUGGCGCCGAUGUUGCUGAAGUUCAGCCGGUCGUCGCCCACGGUGUACGUCAGCCGCCGGUUCACGCGGUACGUACCGCCGGACACCUGCACCCAGGGCAGGAUGCUCAGCAGGUAGCGGGGCGAGAUGCCCUGCAUCACCGGCUGCGUCUUCGUCGUCGUCGCGAGCUGGCGCGCACCCGCCGUGCUGAGGGUGGUGCCCUCGU